CUGUUCAGCCCCUCCCGUUCCCGGUCCGUGCCGCGCCGCGUUCCCCCGCUGGUAUUACAGCCCCCAGGAGCGCUCGUGCCGCGAGUUCACCUACGGCGGCUGCCGCGGCAACGCCAACAACCACCGGGACCGGGAGGAGUGUCUGAGGCGGUGCCUGCCACAGGAUGAUUUCGGCGCCGAAUUCCAGAGAUUCUUCUCCUCCAAAGGUGUCGUUUUUGGGGCUCUGCUGCUCCUGGGGGC